UACGAGGGGGCGAGGCGUUGUUCGGAAUUAUUUGGGCGUAAAGGGUGCGUAGGCGGUUCCGCAAGUCCUGUGUGGAAAUCCUUCGGGCUCAACUCGAAGUCUGCACGGGGAAACUGCGGGGCUUGAGUGUGGGGAGAGGUGAGGUGGAAUUCCCGGUGUAGCGGUGAAAUGCGUAGAUAGUCGGGAGGAACACCUGUGGCGAAAGCGGCUCACUGGACCAUACUGACGCUGAUGCACGAAAGCUGGGGGGAGCAAACAGGA
rnacentral:rRNA from 1 species